rnacentral:rRNA from 1 species
AUUGAACGCUGGCGGCAGGCCUAACACAUGCAAGUCGAGCGGAUGAGAGGAGCUUGCUCCUCGAUUCAGCGGCGGACGGGUGAGUAAUGCCUAGGAAUCUGCCCAGUAGUGGGGGACAACGUUUCGAAAGGAACGCUAAUACCGCAUACGUCCUACGGGAGAAAGUGGGGGAUCUUCGGACCUCACGCUAUUGGAUGAGCCUAGGUCGGAUUAGCUAGUUGGUAGGGUAAAGGCCUACCAAGGCGACGAUCCGUAACUGGUCUGAGAGGAUGAUCAGUCACACUGGAACAGAGACACGGUCCAGACUCCUACGGGAGGCAGCAUUGGGGAAUAUUGGACAAUGGGCGCAAGCCUGAUCAAGCCAUGCCGCGUGUGUGAAGAAGGCCCUCGGGUCGUAAAGCACUUUAAGUUGGGAGGAAGGGCUUACAGCGAAUACCUGUGAGUUUUGACGUUACCGACAGAAUAAGCACCGGCUAACUUCGUGCCAGCCGCCGCAGUAA